rnacentral:lncRNA from 1 species
CUAUAUAUCCACUUCGAGCUAGACAUCUUGAAAUAAAGAAGACCAGCAUUCUGACCUGAUGCCCAGCUGCUGGUGCCCAGUACAUUAAUAGAUCAGAAAGUGGCACAAAGGAGGUGGGUCAUAUAAGAAGCGCAUGUCUGGACUGAAGGCAUCGGUCAGCAGAAAGUUGGGUUGAUAAGCUAUGAUGAUCUCCAUACCUGCAACCAGCUGAGGGGUUUUCUUCCGUUCCCUGUGUCCUGGAGAUUAUUAUAUAUCCAAUGGAGUGAUUAAGUGUAGUCUCCCACUGCUGCUGCUGCUUUCAGUUCUG